rnacentral:rRNA from 1 species
UUAAGCGACUAAGCGUACACGGUGGAUGCCCUGGCAGUCAGAGGCGAUGAAGGACGUGCUAAUCUGCGAUAAGCGUCGGUAAGGUGAUAUGAACCGUUAUAACCGGCGAUUUCCGAAUGGGGAAACCCAGUGUGAUUCGUCACACUAUCAUUAACUGAAUCCAUAGGUUAAUGAGGCGAACCGGGGGAACUGAAACAUCUAAGUACCCCGAGGAAAAGAAAUCAACCGAGAUUCCCCCAGUAGCGGCGAGCGAACGGGGAGCAGCCCAGAGCCUGAAUCAGUGUGUGUGUUAGUGGAAGCGUCUGGAAAGGCGCGCGAUACAGGGUGACAGCCCCGUACACAAAAAUGCACAUACUGUGAGCUCGAUGAGUAGGGCGGGACACGUGGUAUCCUGUCUGAAUAUGGGGGGACCAUCCUCCAAGGCUAAAUACUCCUGACUGACCGAUAGUGAACCAGUACCGUGAGGGAAAAGGCGAAAAGAACCCCGGCGAGGGGAGUGAAAAAGAACCUGAAACCGUGUACGUACAAGCAGUGGGAGCCUCUUUUAUGGGGUGACUGCGUACCUUUUGUAUAAUGGGUCAGCGACUUAUAUUCUGUAGCAAGGUUAACCGAAUAGGGGAGCCGAAGGGAAACCGAGUCUUAACCGGGCGUUAAGUUGCAGGGUAUAGACCCGAAACCCGGUGAUCUAGCCAUGGGCAGGUUGAAGGUUGGGUAACACUAACUGGAGGACCGAACCGACUAAUGUUGAAAAAUUAGCGGAUGACUUGUGGCUGGGGGUGAAAGGCCAAUCAAACCGGGAGAUAGCUGGUUCUCCCCGAAAGCUAUUUAGGUAGCGCCUCGUGAAUUCAUCUCCGGGGGUAGAGCACUGUUUCGGCAAGGGGGUCAUCCCGACUUACCAACCCGAUGCAAACUGCGAAUACCGGAGAAUGUUAUCACGGGAGACACACGGCGGGUGCUAACGUCCGUCGUGAAGAGGGAAACAACCCAGACCGCCAGCUAAGGUCCCAAAGUCAUGGUUAAGUGGGAAACGAUGUGGGAAGGCCCAGACAGCCAGGAUGUUGGCUUAGAAGCAGCCAUCAUUUAAAGAAAGCGUAAUAGCUCACUGGUCGAGUCGGCCUGCGCGGAAGAUGUAACGGGGCUAAACCAUGCACCGAAGCUGCGGCAGCGACACUGUGUGUUGUUGGGUAGGGGAGCGUUCUGUAAGCCUGUGAAGGUGUACUGUGAGGUAUGCUGGAGGUAUCAGAAGUGCGAAUGCUGACAUAAGUAACGAUAAAGCGGGUGAAAAGCCCGCUCGCCGGAAGACCAAGGGUUCCUGUCCAACGUUAAUCGGGGCAGGGUGAGUCGACCCCUAAGGCGAGGCCGAAAGGCGUAGUCGAUGGGAAACAGGUUAAUAUUCCUGUACUUGGUGUUACUGCGAAGGGGGGACGGAGAAGGCUAUGUUGGCCGGGCGACGGUUGUCCCGGUUUAAGCGUGUAGGCUGGUUUUCCAGGCAAAUCCGGAAAAUCAAGGCUGAGGCGUGAUGACGAGGCACUACGGUGCUGAAGCAACAAAUGCCCUGCUUCCAGGAAAAGCCUCUAAGCAUCAGGUAACAUCAAAUCGUACCCCAAACCGACACAGGUGGUCAGGUAGAGAAUACCAAGGCGCUUGAGAGAACUCGGGUGAAGGAACUAGGCAAAAUGGUGCCGUAACUUCGGGAGAAGGCACGCUGAUAUGUAGGUGAAGUCCCUCGCGGAUGGAGCUGAAAUCAGUCGAAGAUACCAGCUGGCUGCAACUGUUUAUUAAAAACACAGCACUGUGCAAACACGAAAGUGGACGUAUACGGUGUGACGCCUGCCCGGUGCCGGAAGGUUAAUUGAUGGGGUCAGCGCAAGCGAAGCUCUUGAUCGAAGCCCCGGUAAACGGCGGCCGUAACUAUAACGGUCCUAAGGUAGCGAAAUUCCUUGUCGGGUAAGUUCCGACCUGCACGAAUGGCGUAAUGAUGGCCAGGCUGUCUCCACCCGAGACUCAGUGAAAUUGAACUCGCUGUGAAGAUGCAGUGUACCCGCGGCAAGACGGAAAGACCCCGUGAACCUUUACUAUAGCUUGACACUGAACAUUGAGCCUUGAUGUGUAGGAUAGGUGGGAGGCUUUGAAGUGUGGACGCCAGUCUGCAUGGAGCCGACCUUGAAAUACCACCCUUUAAUGUUUGAUGUUCUAACGUGGACCCGUGAUCCGGGUUGCGGACAGUGUCUGGUGGGUAGUUUGACUGGGGCGGUCUCCUCCUAAAGAGUAACGGAGGAGCACGAAGGUUGGCUAAUCCUGGUCGGACAUCAGGAGGUUAGUGCAAUGGCAUAAGCCAGCUUGACUGCGAGCGUGACGGCGCGAGCAGGUGCGAAAGCAGGUCAUAGUGAUCCGGUGGUUCUGAAUGGAAGGGCCAUCGCUCAACGGAUAAAAGGUACUCCGGGGAUAACAGGCUGAUACCGCCCAAGAGUUCAUAUCGACGGCGGUGUUUGGCACCUCGAUGUCGGCUCAUCACAUCCUGGGGCUGAAGUAGGUCCCAAGGGUAUGGCUGUUCGCCAUUUAAAGUGGUACGCGAGCUGGGUUUAGAACGUCGUGAGACAGUUCGGUCCCUAUCUGCCGUGGGCGCUGGAGAACUGAGGGGGGCUGCUCCUAGUACGAGAGGACCGGAGUGGACGCAUCACUGGUGUUCGGGUUGUCAUGCCAAUGGCACUGCCCGGUAGCUAAAUGCGGAAGAGAUAAGUGCUGAAAGCAUCUAAGCACGAAACUUGCCCCGAGAUGAGUUCUCCCUGACCCUUUAAGGGUCCUGAAGGAACGUUGAAGACGACGACGUUGAUAGGCCGGGUGUGUAAGCGCAGCGAUGCGUUGAGCUAACCGGUACUAAUGAACCGUGAGGCUUAACCUU